rnacentral:rRNA from 1 species
UACGUAGGGUGCAAGCGUUAAUCGGAAUUACUGGGCGUAAAGCGUGCGCAGGCGGUGAUGUAAGACAGAUGUGAAAUCCCCGGGCUCAACCUGGGAACUGCAUCUGUGACUGCAUCGCUGGAGUGCGGCAGAGGGGGAUGGAAUUCCGCGUGUAGCAGUGAAAUGCGUAGAUAUGCGGAGGAACACCGAUGGCGAAGGCAAUCCCCUGGGCCGGCACUGACGCUCAUGCACGAAAGCGUGGGGAGCAAACAGG